rnacentral:rRNA from 1 species
AACCAAGGGGCCUAGUUAUUUUUUGCGGUAAAAACAGUUAAGAAGAAACGUUGGUUUAAUAAAACUAAUAUUAUAAAGUAAAAUUUGAAUAUUAAAGUAAGCCUUUUUCAAAGCCUUUUCGAAGCUGUGAAACCCUUGAGGGAAACUGGGAUUAGAUACCCCACUAUUCAGGGGCAUAAAAAUUUUUACCAGGGUACUACGAACGUGUGUUUAAAACUCAAAGGGCUUGGCGGUGCUUUAGACCUCCCAGGGGAACCUGUCCCAUAAUCGAUAGUCCACGAGACACCUGACCACAUUUAUUGGUUUGUAUACCGUCGUCUUGGCAACUUUCAAGAAGAAAAAAGUUGACAGUACACCCUUAAGGUUUGACGUCAGAUCAAGGUGCAGCUCAUAGUGUGGGGAGGAUGGGUUACAAUUAUAAAUUAUAUUACCAAGGUUGUUUGAAAGAGCAUCCGAAAGUAGGACUUGGAAGUAAGUAGAAAUAUAAAAAUAUUCUGAAUACGGCCCUGAAGUGU